rnacentral:piRNA from 1 species
UGCUCAUCUGACUGCCAGGGAACACGAUA